rnacentral:rRNA from 1 species
AUUGAACGCUGGCGGCAUGCUUUACACAUGCAAGUCGAACGGUAACAGGCCGCAAGUUGCUGACUAGUGGCGAACUGGUGAGUAAUGCAUCGGAACGUGGCCAUCCGCGGGGUAUAACUACUCGACGUAGUAGCUAAUACCCCAUUCGAUCUUUGGCUGAACGCGGGGGACCGUAGGGCCUCGCGCGCUUGGGGCGGCCGAUGUUAGAUUAGUUAGUUGGUGGGGUAAAGGCUCACCAAGCCAACGAUCGGUAGCUGGUCUGAGAGGACGAUCAGCCACACUGGGACUGAGACACGGCCCAGACUCCUACGGGAGGCAGCAGUAGGGAAUAUUGGACAAUGGGCGCAAGCCUGAUCCAGCCAUGCCGCGUGAGGGAAGAAGGCCUUCGGGUUGUAAAGCUCUUUUGUACGGGAAGAAAAGCAUCGGGCUAAUACCUCGGGGUACUGACGGUACCGGAAGAAUAAGCACCGGCUAACUUCGUG